rnacentral:rRNA from 1 species
GACGAACGCUGGCGGCGUGCCUAAUGCAUGCAAGUCGAACGCUUUUUCCUUCGGGAAAAGGAGUGGCGAACGGCUGAGGAACACGUGGGUAACCUGCCCUGGUGUGGGGGACAACGACUCGAAAGGGUCGCUAAUCCCGCAUACGCUCGCAAGAGGAAAGACGUAAGUCGCACCAGGAGGGGCCUGCGGCCCAUCAGGUAGUUGGUGAGGUAACGGCUCACCAAGCCAAUGACGGGUACCUGGUCUGAGAGGACGAUCAGGCAGACUGGGACUGAGACACGGCCCAGACUCCUACGGGAGGCAGCAGCAAGGAAUUUUCCGCAAUGGGCGCAAGCCUGACGGAGCAACGCCGCGUGCCGGAAGACGGCCUUCGGGUUGUAAACGGCUUUUGCCGGGGAAGAUGAUGACGGUACCCGGCGAAUAAGCCCCGGCUAACUCCGUGCCAGCAGCCGCGGUAAGACGGAGGGGGCAAGCGUUGUCCGGACUCACUGGGCGUAAAGCGUGCGUAGGCGGUCGGGAGCGUCGCGCCUGAAAACGCCGGGCUUAACCCGGCGAGGCGGAGCGAUACGGCUCGACUGGAGGCAGGGAGAGGUACACAGAAUUCCGGGUGUAGUGGUGAAAUGCGUAGAUAUCCGGAGGAAUGUCGGUGGCGAAGGCGGUGUACUGGCCCUGACCUGACGCUGAGGCACGAAGGCGUGGGGAGCAAACCGGAUUAGAUACCCGGGUAGUCCACGCAGUAAACGAUGUUGGCUCGGUGUGUGGUGCUGGUGAACAGUGCUGCGUGCCCAAGUACACACGGUAAGCCAACCGCCUGGGGACU